rnacentral:lncRNA from 1 species
CGUAGUCGGUUAGCGCGUUCGGCUGUUAACCGAAAGGUUGGUGGUUCGAGCCCACCCAGGAACGGUUGUUCGAGCUUUUAAAGUAUUCAUGCAUUGUCAAUCACUAGAUAAAUGGGGAAAAUUUUAUCUUCCUGGAGUCCUAAGCCACUAAUUUGUGACUUAUCCAUGUCAAGGGCCAGCCUACCUCCCCGACCGGAUUCUUAACCGGG